rnacentral:rRNA from 1 species
UGGGGAAUUUUGGACAAUGGGCGCAAGCCUGAUCCAGCCAUGCCGCGUGCAGGAUGAAGGCCUUCGGGUUGUAAACUGCUUUUGUACGGAACGAAAAGACUCCUUCUAAUAAAGGGGGUCCAUGACGGUACCGUAAGAAUAAGCACCGGCUAACUACGUGCCAGCAGCCGCGGUAAUACGUAGGGUGCGAGCGUUAAUCGGAAUUACUGGCCGUAAAGCGUGCGCAGGCGGUUAUAUAAGACAGAUGUGAAAUCCCCGGGCUCAACCUGGGAACUGCAUUAGUGACUGUAUAGCUAGAGUACGGCAGAGGGGGAUGGAAUUCCGCGUGUAGCAGUGAAAUGCGUAGAUAUGCGGAGGAACACCGAUGGCGAAGGCAAUCCCCUGGGCCUGUACUGACGCUCAUGCACGAAAGCGUGGGGAGCAAACA